GGGCCCGCACAAGCGGUGGAGCAUGUGGUUUAAUUCGAUGAUACGCGAGGAACCUUACCAGGGCUUAAAUGUAGUGGGACAGGUCUAGAAAUAGAUUUUUCUUCGGACACUUAACAAGGUGCUGCAUGGUUGUCGUCAGCUCGUGCCGUGAGGUGUCAGGUUAAGUCCUAUAACGAGCGCAACCCCUGUUGUUAGUUGCCAGCGAGUAAUGUCGGGAACUCUAGCAAGACUGCCAGUGCAAACUGUGAGGAAGGUGGGGAUGACGUCAAAUCAUCACGGCCCUUACGUCCUGGGCUACACACGUGCUACAAUGGCCGGUACAGAGAGCAGCCACUUCGCAAGAAGGAGCGAAUCUAUUAAAACCGGUCUCAGUUCGGAUCGGAGUCUGCAACUCGACUCCGUGAAGCUGGAAUC
rnacentral:rRNA from 1 species